CACAAAGUAUGUAAACAUGGAACCAAAAGCCCACAUGAUGUGGAUGAAAUGCAGGUAUUUAAUGGUUAAACUUUACAUAAUCUAUUGCUGCUCUAAAAAAAAUACAUAAAAUAAAAGGAUUUUCUUAGAUGACUGAUUUAUAUUUCUUAACUGUAUACCUCAUAACUGGAAAUAGUGCAACUAAUACAAAUCAAAUCUAUAUAUUAGUAGUUAUGGGAAAAGAUUGUAGUAUUGCAGUUUUAUACAACUGUUAUUACUUUUUCAAUAGCCUUCCUGAGAAUGAAAAAGUGAUUGUGCUUGAGUGUGAAUCUUCUCCGCCUACAGACAAAACAGGCUCCCUCUUCAUCUCUAAGCAGACUGUCAUCCCUGGUCACCAUCAGGUCUGUUCUUGCCCCAGUGAACAUUCAACGCUGUCGAGAAAGAGAAGGAAGAAGUCCAUAACAUUCAGAAACCUCCACACAGGCAUGGUGGAUGACUUCUUGAAAAAUCACAUGAAGAACACAGUGUUCCUUCUUUGUAAACAUGCAAAAACUUCCUGCUUCCAAAUCACAACGAAAAGGUCACAAUCAACAUUCAUUGCUGUCGGUGGGUUUAACUGUGUGGAAGAGCUCACUGAACGAUGAAUGCAACUGUGUCCCAGAUUUCCUCUGACCGUCGCAAGGAAUAUUGUCACAAUAUGCUGAUGAAGGCAUUUUUUAGUUUACCUGUCCCUUGUCUACCCACAACUACAGCCACACUAGUAGUGUGAUCUGACAUCUUGGCAUUUUGGCUGUAAGAGCAGAAGAAGAGUAAAGAUUCGAGAGAUAGUUGGGAUGAAGGUUGCACUGAACAUGAUUUAGUUCAUUUAAUUGCUACAGGAAUGAUAAAACGUGUGCUAAAUAUAAAAAUAGUGUAAUGUGGAGUGAAAAGUGACCUUUACUGAAUGAAACUGAUUUGAUCAAUACUCCAAAGUAUAUAGUUUUUUGAACAAGUUGAUCUUCUUACAAUUGUUAGAUAGCUUUGAUGUUCACCCAAACUGUGUGUGCCUGAUUAUUAAAGCUGUGUAUGUAUUUUGAUGCAUUUUAUUCCAAUAAAUUAUCACACUUUC